AUUGAACGCUGGCGGCAUGCCUUACACAUGCAAGUCGAACGGUAACAGGUCUUCGGAUGCUGACGAGUGGCGAACGGGUGAGUAAUACAUCGGAACGUGCCUAGUAGUGGGGGAUAACUACUCGAAAGAGUGGCUAAUACCGCAUGAGAUCUACGGAUGAAAGCAGGGGAUCGCAAGACCUUGUGCUACUAGAGCGGCCGAUGGCAGAUUAGGUAGUUGGUGGGAUAAAAGCUUACCAAGCCGACGAUCUGUAGCUGGUCUGAGAGGACGAUCAGCCACACUGGGACUGAGACACGGCCCAGACUCCUACGGGGGGCAGCAGUGGGGAAUUUUGGACAAUGGGCGCAAGCCUGAUUCAGCAAUGCCGCGUGCAGGAUGAAGGCCUUCGGGUUGUAAACUGCUUUUGUACGGAACGAAAAGCCCUGGGUUAAUACCCUGGGGUCAUGACGGUACCGUAAGAAUAAGCACCGGCUAACUACGUGCCAGCCGCCGCAGUAA
rnacentral:rRNA from 1 species